CACAACUGAACUGAACCACUGAUAAAAACUUGGAGUUUAUAAAAGACCUAAUCUGAACCACCUCUUUUUUCUAGAUAUUUCCAGUUGAUGACUUUAUUAUAAUGCAUUCUCUCUUUCCCAAAAGAAUUUGAAAACACUGCUCAGUCCUGUGCAUGACUUCAGUACCAUGGGCCUCUACAGAGACAUCAUGAAUCGCCUGAGAAGACACUGCAGAACAGCCUGCACUCCUUGCUGGGGCCCACUCGUGUCCAGACAAACACUGAGGCAACAGCAGCAUCAGGAGUCCUGAGAACACCUGAAAUUCCCACUGUCUGUUGUGUAGCAAGACAGAAAGGCUGUGUCUCACAUGGUGAUGGACUGGAUUACUGCACUGACUUUUAUCUUCAGCAACAGGCUCCAUGUAUAUCAGGAUACAGUUUAAAAGGAAUGAUCAUCUUUUUAAUAGAUCACAUACUGAGUCGCAAGCUACAUAUUCAACAGAAAAUCAAGCUAAUUGCUCACUUCUUCUGAGACAUCCCUGAAGGAUAAUCGACGUCUGCAGAGCUGUUUCUUAGUUGGAAACUAAAUAAUUAAGCUGAAGAAAUGCAUUUCUCUUUCAAGUUUCUCUCUGUAUUUUAUUUUAUUCUUCUUUGUACCAAAUAUGUCAGAAUGAACAUAAGCUAUUGACUUUAAUUAAAAAUUAAAAUCGGC